CCGGCGCACGGGUGAGUAACGCGUAUGCAACUUGCCUAUCAGAGGGGGAUAACCCGGCGAAAGUCGGACUAAUACCGCGUGAAGCAGGGAUCCCGCAUGGGAAUAUUUGCUAAAGAUUCAUCGCUGAUAGAUAGGCAUGCGUUCCAUUAGGCAGUUGGCGGGGUAACGGCCCACCAAACCGACGAUGGAUAGGGGUUCUGAGAGGAAGGUCCCCCACAUUGGUACUGAGACACGGACCAA
rnacentral:rRNA from 1 species